GCAAAUGUGUCGGAAUUGGUAUACGAGCUUCACUUAGGAUGAAGUGCCUUAACGGGCUUAAGAGUUCGAGUCUCUUCAUUUGUA
rnacentral:tRNA from 1 species